rnacentral:rRNA from 1 species
CAGUAGCCGCGGGAAUACGUAGGUGGCAAGCGUUGUCCGGAAUUAUUGGGCGUAAAGGGCUCGCAGGCGGUUUCUUAAGUCUGAUGUGAAAGCCCCCGGCUCAACCGGGGAGGGUCAUUGGAAACUGGGAAACUUGAGUGCAGAAGAGGAGAGUGGAAUUCCACGUGUAGCGGUGAAAUGCGUAGAGAUGUGGAGGAACACCAGUGGCGAAGGCGACUCUCUGGUCUGUAAUUGACGCUGAGGAGCGAAAGCGUGGGGAGCGAACAGGAUUAGAUACCCCCGUAGUCCCUGUCUCUUAUAC